UACGAAGGGGGGCUAGCGUUGCUCGGAAUCACUGGGCGUAAAGCGCACGUAGGCGGACUCUUAAGUCGGUGGUGAAAUCCUGGAGCUCAACUCCAGAACUGCCUUCGAUACUGAGAGUCUCGAGUCCGAGAGAGGUGAGUGGAACUGCGAGUGUAGAGGUAGAAAUUCGUAGAUAUUCGCAAGAACACCAGUGGCGAAGGCGGCUCACUGGCUCGGUACUGACGCUGAGGUGCGAAAGCGUGGGGAGCAAACAGGG
rnacentral:rRNA from 1 species